GAUGAACGCUGGCGGCGUGCCUAACACAUGCAAGUCGAGCGGACAGACGAGGCUUUUGCUUGGCUUCCGUGAGGGGCGGGCGGGUGAGGCACACGAGUAUACCUGACAUAGGAGAAUGAGAUCAGGACGGGAAAGCGGAUAUCACACAGGAUAAGAUAGUGAACCGCGGGGUUCAUUGGAGAGAAACGGUUUUGCUGUGACUAGUAGAGGGUUCCGAGCUGGAUUAGCUAGUUGGUACGGAAACGGCGUACCAAGGCGACGAUGCGUAGCCGACCUGAGAGGGUGAUCGGUCACACUGGAACUGAGACACGGUCCAGACUCCUACGGGAGGCAGCAGUGGGGAAUCUUCGGCAAUGGGCGAAAGCUUGACGCAGCAAUGCCGCGUGUGUGAUGAAGGUCUUCGGAUCGUAAAGCUCUUUUAUUUGGGAGGAACAGCUGUGUAUUUAUACCUUGCUGUUUUGACGUUACCUACUCAGAAAGCACCGGCUAACUACGUG
rnacentral:rRNA from 1 species